UACGGGGGGGGCAAGCGUUGUUCGGAAUUACUGGGCGUAAAGGGCUCGUAGGCGGCCAACUAAGUCAAACGUGAAAUCCCUCGGCUUAACCGGGGAACUGCGUCUGAUACUGGAUGGCUUGAGUUUGGGAGAGGGAUGCGGAAUUCCUGGUGUAGCGGUGAAAUGCGCAGAUAUCAGGAAGAACACCCGUGGCGAAGGCGGCUCUCUGGGACGGUACUGACGCUGAGACGCGAAAGCGUGGGGAGCGAACAGG
rnacentral:rRNA from 1 species